UACGAAGGGUGCAAGCGUUACUCGGAAUUACUGGGCGUAAAGCGUGCGUAGGUGGUGAGUUAAGUCUGAUGUGAAAUCCCCGGGCUCAACCUGGGAAUGGCAUUGGAUACUGGCUCGCUAGAGUGCGGUAGAGGGUGGUGGAAUUCCCGGUGUAGCAGUGAAAUGCGUAGAGAUCGGGAGGAACAUCUGUGGCGAAGGCGGCCACCUGGACCAACACGUGACACUGAGGCACGAAAGCGUGGGGAGCAAACAGGG
rnacentral:rRNA from 1 species